UACGGGGGGGGCAAGCGUUGUUCGGAAUUACUGGGCGUAAAGCGCGUGUAGGCGGCCUUCUAAGUCUGGUGUGAAAGCCCGGGGCUCACCCCCGGAAGUGCAUUGGAUACUGGGAGGCUGGAGUACCGGAGAGGAGGGUGGAAUUCCUGGUGUAGCGGUGAAAUGCGUAGAUAUCAGGAGGAACACCGGUGGCGAAGGCGGCCCUCUGGACGGAUACUGACGCUGAGACGCGAAAGCGUGGGGAGCAAACAGG
rnacentral:rRNA from 1 species